rnacentral:misc_RNA from 1 species
GUUUAUUUGUACAUUAUAGCACAUAGACAUUCCAUUACAUACAGAGUGUGUAAAAGUACUCUUUCGAUCAUUACAACCUCAGAGUCAUAGAUGCACAGGUGUGGGGAUUUGCGGCCAAACGUGCACAUGUGUUUCCACCAGCAACAGAAUGGCCGACUUUGGAAAUUUCAUUAAUGAUCCUUCCGCAGGUUCACCUACGGAAA